GAUGAAGAACGUAGCGAAAUGCGAUAAGUAAUGUGAAUUGCAGAAUUCAGUGAAUCAUCGAAUCUUUGAACGCACAUUGCGCCCGCCAGUAUUCUGGCGGGCAUGCCUGUUCGAGCGUCAUUUCAACCCUCAAGCCCUGCUUGGUGUUGGGGAUCGGCGUUGCCUCCUCCGUCGUUCGCGGCGGGGUGGGGUCGCCGCCCCCGAAAUGAAUUGGCGGUCUCGUCGCAGCUUUCCUUUGCGUAGUAACAUACCACCUCGCAACCAGGAGCGCGGCGCGGCCACUGCCGUAAAACGCCCAACUUUUUCAAGAGUUGACCUCGAAUCAGGUAGGAAUACCCGCUGAACUUAAGCAUAUCAAUAAGCGGAGGA
rnacentral:misc_RNA from 1 species